rnacentral:rRNA from 1 species
UACGUAGGGGGCAAGCGUUGUCCGGAAUCAUUGGGCGUAAAGAGCGUGUAGGCGGCCCGAUAAGUCCGCUGUGAAAGUCCAGGGCUCAACCCUGGAAUGCCGGUGGAUACUGUCGGGCUCGAAUCCGGAAGAGGCGAGUGGAAUUCCCGGUGUAGCGGUGAAAUGCGCAGAUAUCGGGAGGAACACCUAUGGCGAAGGCAGCUCGCUGGGACGUUACUGACGCUGAGACGCGAAAGCGUGGGGAGCAAACAGG